GACGAACGCUGGCGGCGUGCUUAACACAUGCAAGUCGAACGAGUGGCGAACGGGUGAGUAAUACGUGAGUAACCUGCCCUCUUUUUGGGAUAAGCCUUGGAAACGGGGUCUAAUACCGAAUAAAGGGGGAUGGGCUCGCGGCCUAUCAGCUUGUUGGUGGGGUGAUGGCCUACCACGGCGGUGUCUGGUAGCCGGCCUGAGAGGGUGACAGGGCACAGUGGGAGGGUGAUACGGGCCAGACUCACACGCGAGGCGGCAGUGGGGGAGAAUGCACAAAGGGGUAGAGCGUGAGGUGGAGACGCGUCGUGGGGGAUGUAUGUGUUUGGGUUGUAAACAUCUUUCGCGAUCGAACGGGUAGGUGGAGAAGAAGCGCCGGCUAACUACGUGCCAGCAGCCGCGGUAAUUC
rnacentral:rRNA from 1 species